rnacentral:sRNA from 1 species
ACACGAGGAAGGAGGUGGUCCGAAGUUGUAUAGCUACAGGACUCUGCGUGAGGUGGCUGUCCGCUAGGACCUCCCCCAAGGUGGUCUGGGCGAAUCCCAGGCAGCCACCCGGCCCCCGUGACCCCGAGCCCAGUCCAGCUCGGCCCGCACAGCGUGCGGGAGACGGUCAGGGGGCCGUUUCAC